rnacentral:rRNA from 1 species
GAUGAACGCUAGCUACAGGCUUAACACAUGCAAGUCGAGGGGUAACAAGAGGAAAGCUUGCUUUUCUUGUUGACGACCGGCGCACGGGUGAGUAACGCGUAUCCAACCUGCCUAUAACUAGGGAAUAACCUUGCGAAAGUAAGACUAAUACCCUAUGAUUUCCUUUGAUGACAUCAGAUUAGGAAUAAAGAUUUAUCAGUUAUUGAUGGGGAUGCGUCUGAUUAGCUUGUUGGCGGGGUAACGGCCCACCAAGGCAACGAUCAGUAGGGGUUCUGAGAGGAAGGUCCCCCACAUUGGAACUGAGACACGGUCCAAACUCCUACGGGGGGCAGCAGUGAGGAAUAUUGGUCAAUGGGCGGAAGCCUGAACCAGCCAAGUAGCGUGCAGGAUGACGGCCCUAUGGGUUGUAAACUGCUUUUAUACAGGAAUAAAGUUAGCCACGUGUGGUUAUUUGUAGGUACUGUAUGAAUAAGGACCGGCUAAUUCCGUGCCAGCCGCCGCAGUAA